rnacentral:rRNA from 1 species
UACGUAGGGGGCUAGCGUUGUCCGGAAUCAUUGGGCGUAAAGAGCGUGUAGGCGGCUUGGCAAGUCCGCUGUGAAAGUCCAGGGCUCAACCCUGGAAUGCCAGUGGAUACUGUCAAGCUAGAGUCCGGAAGAGGCGAGUGGAAUUCCUGGUGUAGCGGUGAAAUGCGCAGAUAUCAGGAGGAACACCGAUGGCGAAGGCAGGUCUCUGGGCCACUACUGACGCUGAGAAGCGAAAGCGUGGGGAGCAAACAGG